AGAUUGAACGCUGGCGGCAUGCCUUACACAUGCAAGUCGAACGGCAGCACGGGAGCAAUCCUGGUGGCGAGUGGCGAACGGGUGAGUAAUAUAUCGGAACGUGCCCAGUAGUGGGGGAUAGCCCGGCGAAAGCCGGAUUAAUACCGCAUACGACCUGAGGGUGAAAGCGGGGGAUCGCAAGACCUCGCGCUACUGGAGCGGCCGAUAUCAGAUUAGCUAGUGUGGGUAAGCUACCAGGCAACGAUCUGUAGUUGGUCUGAGAGGACGACCAGCCACACUGGGACUGAGACACGGCCCAGACUCCUACGGGAGGCAGCAGUGGGGAAUUUUGGACAAUGGGCGCAAGCCUGAUCCAGCAAUGCCGCGUGCAGGAAGAAGGCCUUACGGGUUGUAAACUG
rnacentral:rRNA from 1 species